rnacentral:lncRNA from 1 species
UCUUCCAGUUCGUCAACUUCUACUCCUCACCCGUCUACAUUGCCUUCUUCAAGGGCAGGUUUGUGGGAUACCCAGGCAACUACCACACCUUGUUUGGAGUCCGCAAUGAGGAGGUGAGUGUGCCUGAGGCCCGGGACUGGGGGAUGAGCUGUGUGCUUCCUCUCACUUCCAUUCUUCCAUUCGAGCUUUGAUUUGCAGCAAUUCCUCCCACCACCGGCUAUUUCCAUCGCCCAGCCAGGGCCAGCUGUGCAGCUGACCACUCAGGGCUCCCAGCCUCUCUUCACCACUUAUUCUGACCCCCGAUAUGCCCCAUUCAGAACCACACCAAAACACUCCAGGCCGGGCACAGUGGCUCACGCCUGU